AUUGAACGCUGGCGGCAUGCUUUACACAUGCAAGUCGAACGGCAGCGCGGGCUUCGGCCUGGCGGCGAGUGGCGAACGGGUGAGUAAUACAUCGGAACGUGCCCAGUAGUGGGGGAUAGCUCGGCGAAAGCCGGAUUAAUACCGCAUACGACCUGAGGGUGAAAGCGGGGGAUCUUCGGACCUCGCGCUAUUGGAGCGGCCGAUGGCAGAUUAGCUAGUUGGUGGGGUAAAGGCCUACCAAGGCGACGAUCUGUAGCUGGUCUGAGAGGACGACCAGCCACACUGGGACUGAGACACGGCCCAGACUCCUACGGGAGGCAGCAGUGGGGAAUUUUGGACAAUGGGCGAAAGUCUGAUCCAGCAAUGCCGCGUGUGUGAUGAAGGCCUUCGGGUUGUAAAGCACUUUUGGCGGGGACGAAAAGGACUGUGCCAAUACCACGGUUCGAUGACGGUACCCGCAGAAUAAGCACCGGCUAACUACGUG
rnacentral:rRNA from 1 species